CUAUUCUCAUCGAGCCAGCACACUACCGACUGGAGUACUCUAGAAGGGAUACAAAGAGUCAAUUCCUUCGAUUGAUUUUUAUCCGUGACCACCCCCAUGACCUCCAGCUGCCACAAACAUCCAUUCGCUUCUUCUCCCCAUGCAUCUAACAAUUCAACUCGACUGCACUGCGGCUACAAAUUUGGUCCAGAUAGCCACCGGCAAGAAUCCCUCUCAAUCGCUCUCCUCUGCCAUGUUCCUACCUCCACGCCGAUCACCACACACUCCAUCCCUCAACCUCAGGCAGCCUCCUGUAUUUGAUCUCGACAUAGAAGACUCAAGUUCCCCUCGCUCUUGGUUUCUGUAUGCGGUUUCGCACUGAAGCAUGGGAUGGAUAUGCAAGUCUCUGGCCCAGAACUCUCUUCGCUAUUGUCUGGGCAUUGUACGAUUGAAAAUGAUGUUGCCUUUUCCGCUCAUAGCCUCAAAUCCAACGUUUCCAAUCCAUUUGCCAGAACAGAUUUUAUCAUAUGUGGCGUCCCUAAAAAAAGGUUGUCGUCACCCAUUGUACACUCCCUAUAUUUUCUUCAACUAUAUAUGGAUGACAUGGUUUCGUUACUCAUCUUCAACAAUGGAGAGAAAAAGAGAUGCAGUUUGUCAUUGGACAACACGUGGAUUUGUUCUGUAUGGUUAUGGAACUCGUGUUUGCCAGAUUUCAGGCUACUAUGGACUACAGAAGGUGGAGUUUUUAUAUAUAUCAGGUCUUCACUUGAAAAAUAUCAAAUCGUUAUUGGUACGACACCUUUUUCCUACACAUCGAACUGCAUGCGUGCAAAAAAGAAAAAUCCCUGGUAUGGUACAACCCCGCUACUUCUCAAUUGUUUCCCAUCAAUCCAUAUUCAUUCACUUUGUUACAGGGCACUUUGAAGCAAUAAAAAUUAAAAAAACAUGUUUUAUCACGACAUACCCGAGUAUUUUAUCACAUCAUACACAAAUACUAUAUAAUAUUUUUUAUGUGCUAUGAUGCUAUGUCACAUGAUAUAUGUGCAACUUCUAUAAAUUCCCGUCGCAACGCACGUGUAUCCUUCUAGUUUUUCUAAAACUCCACCACUUGUUAUGGACAUGGUUGUAUGAAGAUUGGGUUCUUAACCUAUUGAUUAUUAUUCCUCUUUACCUCUCAGUGAUGUGUGCGUCGUUUCUUUCCCUUCAAGUCACAUAGUAAAGAGUAAAAUACUUAGUUCAUGAAUUCGGCAAAAAUAAACACUUUAGUUCACGAACUCGGAAAACGCACACUUAAAUCUCUAAGCUGGGCUACUGUGUCACUUUAGUCCAAAAACGGUUCGGUGAGGUUUAAUUCCACCAUGUGGCCGCCACGUUGGCUUUGAUCACCCCUUCACCUGCGUCCUCUCGUCAAAGUUGAGCAUUGUGGCUUGAUAGCAACCUUAGGCGAGGCGGCGGCUGCAACGGCGUGGUUCUCAAGGGCCCAGGAUCCCCGUCUGGAUGUGACCGCCUUGCUCCUCGCGAGCGGCUCGGGCAUGGUGAUUUUGCAAAAAAAAAAUCCCUUGAGAAAAUCGAGUAGCUACCCGCGGUCUUGGCCGAACCUGACGUGACAGUUUAGGAAUUUAAGUGUGCGUUUUCUGAGUUCGUGGAUUAAAAUGUUCAUUUUUUUCGAGUUCAUGGAUCAGCGGAAUAUUUUUACUCCACAGUAAAGGGUGCUAUAAUUUGUAGGCCGGCGGAGGAACGACCGUGGAACGGGCUAGGGGCGCUGGCCGAACGAGAUGAGGCGGUGCUGGCCGAACGGGUUGAGGCGCCGAUGGGGUAUCCUCCAGAGGCGCCAGCGCACGUGUCCUUUUUGGGUGCUGGCCCAUCUCCUCGAUGCGGCGGCGCCGGCGAUUGUAGAGCUUGGGAGGCUGAGGCGCUGACGGCGGGUCGGACUGAGGCGCCAACAGGCUGAGGCGCUGACGGAGGGACGGGCUGAGGCGCCGGCACACGCGAUUUGGGGGUGAUUCGAGAGUUCCGGAGGCAGCGAUUUUGCAACUGAUAUAUGGAAUUGAUUUUUUUACCGCACUAUACGGUCGCUGGCCCAUUCAUGAAGUUCGACCGGGGCGUUCGAAGACGUCGACUCCAGCACCAAGACGCGCAUAUGGCUGGACGCUAUGGACGGCGAUCUUGGGCCACCAGCCCCAUCCAACGGUGAGAGAGUGAGAAAACAACACUACCUGUGGCGGAGGCGGAGCCACCACUGCUCCCACUUGGACCUCCCCGACGCCGCCGCCCCUGGCCCUGUUCCUUUUCCUUCCUUGGUGCAUCCACACGCCCGUCUCCGAUUUGGUCUUCAUCCUAUUCCUACUCUGAUUCCCUCUCGAAUCCAUAGAUAUAUACCAGCAACCUCGAUCCCGGCUCAGGAAAUCCAUCGAUACAUCGACGAUGAACUGGACGGGGUGUUUCAUGGACGCCUCCCUGCAUCCUCCUACCCACCCUCGCCGUCCCAAAUCCGGCGACGGCGAUCCCACCUGGGUCCUCCUCGACAACCGCGCCUACAUCACUGACACCCAGAACCACACCACAGCCCACUGCCACACAAGAGACAAGACCAACAAGGUGCAAGUCACAUUCUUUUUCGCCGCCCCGCCCCUCGUCUCCUACUUCGGCAUGUCUUUCACAGAUUCCAAGCCCACCGAGUUGGGCCGUGAGCCAUGUAUUGCCGCCGCCGACUCCAACCUCGUCCUUAUCUUCUCUGUCCACGGCCCUUGGCACAAAAUCUACGAUAGGAGGAUGCACGACUUCUACAUCUACCAGGCCGACGGGCCCUCCGAAGGGGGGCCGUCGCUGAAGCUGCUCCCGCAUCCGACGCCUGGUGUGUUCCCGUCGGAUAGCCGCUGCUACUUCCAUCACCGCCAGGCUGGUAUCCUGCGCUAUCGCAACGAGCGGCCCGCCCGUGGGCUCGCCCUUUGCCGCCACGGCCCCGUCAACCUACGACGGCUACAUCAUCGCCUCACUCUGUUUGGGGGAAUUAGAUGAGGAAAUAGACGAGCUGCCGUACAAGUUUGAUAUCUGCACCUACGACUCCAAAACUGAAACUUGGAGCAGGCAGCCCGCUUUGCUGCACAAGCAGCAGCAUCUCCCCGAGCGUCCUCCCGAGAGUGAGAGGGUGAUCACCAUUCGAGAAGAGACCGGCACCAUGGGCUGGGUCGACCUCUGGCGGGGCAUCACCGUCUGUGACGUGCUGCCUCAUCUCGAGAAGAAGAAGAGCACCCCACUGCUGCUUCGCUACAUCCCACUGCCGCCUCCGAUCCUACCUGAUCACAAGUUAAACGGCCAUUCAUCCAUGCAACGAGACAUUGCUGUUGUCGGAGGCCGUGUCAGGUACGUGGAGGUGCAGAUGCACAUCAGGCCUGUCUCCUACAUUCCGGGAACAUUCGUCUCUGAUGGCUGGACUGCUGUCACGUGGAGCAUGUCGACCGAAUCCUUGGACAAGGGUUGGGACAGGGAGCUUGAGGUCCAUGCUCACGAGGUGUCUACCGAUGAAGCCGUGGGCUUCGAGUUGCUCCCGGAGCUGCUGGAUGACAAAGGCACGCCGCAGCCAACCUUGGAGAGGAUGCACAUUGGUCAUCCCACACUCAGCUUGCACGAGGAUGACAACACCGUUUACUUCAUGACAAAGAUCGAUUACAAGGACCAUGACCAGGCAUGGGUCAUUGCAGUUGACAUGAAGAACAAGAAGUUGCAAGGGGUGUCGAGAUUUGCUGGCGCAAAAAGAAAUCGUUUCUUCACUGAGGCCUAUGUGCACAAUAGCAUCUCCGGCCAUCUCAAUAUGGUUCAAGGCAUCCAGGGUCACCUGAAGCGACCAGGGAUACCACUGUCGGGAUCUUCUAGCAAGAAGGGACCCUAUACCCUUCUGAGAUAGGGUGGGCUGGUGCAGCGGAUUCAUCAUGCUGACUCUGAUUGAUGUUCAAGUGGAAGGAGCUAGUGUCAGCGGCAUCUCAUACCUACUUUGGAUUGCAAUGAAAUGAUGAUCUCAAUGUUGGCUAGAUAUAUUAACCUGCAUCUUUUCGUUUAUUUAUAAAGGUUAUGUAUGCAUGACUCAGGAUCUAGAACGCUUGGAUGACAAUGUUUUAUCUGCCUAUUAUGUAUCCAGUCUUAUACAACACAAGUGUUUUCUAUC